GACGAACGCUGGCGGCGUGCUUAACACAUGCAAGUCGAACGUGAUUUUUAUGGAAGGACCUUCGGGGACGGAAAUGAAAUGAAAGUGGCGAACGGGUGAGUAACACGUGAGCAACCUACCUUACACAGGGGGAUAGCCGUUGGAAACGACGAUUAAUACCGCAUGAGACCACAAUACUGCAUGGUAUAGGGGUCAAAGAUUUAUCGGUGUAAGAUGGGCUCGCGUCUGAUUAGCUAGUUGGAAGGGUAAAGGCCUACCAAGGCAACGAUCAGUAGCCGGUCUGAGAGGAUGAACGGCCACAUUGGAACUGAGACACGGUCCAAACUCCUACGGGAGGCAGCAGUGGGGAAUAUUGCACAAUGGGGGAAACCCUGAUGCAGCGACGCCGCGUGAGCGAAGAAGGUUUUCGAAUCGUAAAGCUCUGUCCUAUGAGAAGAUAAUGACGGUAUCAUAGGAGGAAGCCCCGGCUAAAUACGUGCCAGCAGCCGCGGUAAUACGUAUGGGGCGAGCGUUGUCCGGAAUUAUUGGGCGUAAAGGGUACGUAGGCGGCCUUUUAAGUCAGGUGUGAAAGCGUGAGGCUUAACCUCAUUAAGCACUUGAAACUGGAAGGCUUGAGUGAAGGAGAGGAAAGUGGAAUUCCUAGUGUAGCGGUGAAAUGCGUAGAUAUUAGGAGGAAUACCGGUGGCGAAGGCGACUUUCUGGACUUUUACUGACGCUCAGGUACGAAAGCGUGGGGAGCAAACAGG
rnacentral:rRNA from 1 species